AUGAUUUGCAUUACCUGGAAGGGCCGGGGGCUUGGAAACCCCUAGACAGUUCGGGAGCUUCACUGACUGGUGAAGCAAGAAGGGCCUGCCCUAUUGUUCAUAAUGUAGACUAAAAUCAGGGCUAAGAGAGUGGAAGACCUGCGAUAUCAAUUUGGUUUCUCAGGUUGUUUCGCAGUCGACAGUGUUGGAAUGGGUGGUGGAAUUGGGCUUUACUGGUCCAAUGAUGUGGAUGUUAACUUGAAAAAUUAUAGCAAGAAUCACAUUGAUGUUUCCAUGAGGGUCAAGGAUCAAGCCCUGCUGCAUUCUACGGGGAACCACGGGUCGAAGUUAGGCAUCAUAGUUGGCGCUUUCUUCUGA
rnacentral:rRNA from 1 species